rnacentral:rRNA from 1 species
UACGUAGGGGGCUAGCGUUGUCCGGAAUCAUUGGGCGUAAAGAGCGUGUAGGCGGUCCGGUAAGUCCGCUGUGAAAGUCGGGGGCUCAACCCUCGAAUGCCGGUGGAUACUGUCGGGCUAGAGUGCGGAAGAGGCGAGUGGAAUUCCUAGUGUAGCGGUGAAAUGCGCAGAUAUCAGCAGGAACACCUAUUGCGAAGGCAGCUCGCUGGGACGUUACUGACGCUGAGACGCGAAAGCGUGGGGAGCAAACAGG